AGCGAGACUUUACGGGGUUGCUGCUGCAGAAUUUCCCCUCCAUGGAAGAUGAACAGUACAUGAUAGAAUUGACUGUUUUCUCUCGGCUGAUACUCCACCAAAAAGGGUCAUUUCUCGUAUGUGGGCUAACGUAUCUAAACUUGAAUCUAAUGGCAGAGAUGCUUGGAGCUCUCACAACAUAUUUGGUGAUUUUGAUUCAGUUCGAUCAAUCAACACAGUAUUAAACCAAAAAUAUGAGCAUGAUAAAGCAGCUUGAACUUUCGAGUUUA